UUGAAACACCAGUUCCCGUACGAUCAUCGAAGUAAAGCAACGUCGAGACCGGUCAUUACCUAGAUGGGUGACUUACUGGGAUUAGUAGGUGCUGUAAG